GAGAGAGAAUCAUUACCAAAUGAGAAAACAUUAGGUCAGGAGCUGGAAUAAAACCAGUGUUUUACACCAGCCAAUAACAUUAGGCCACGUGGACUUUUUAUUAAACCCCUCUCCAAACAGCCAAAACUCACGCCAUUCACCUCAGAAAAAAUAGAAGAAAAUAGAGAAACCCCUAAGCUCUAAGCUCUGCUUCCUCUUCCUCUGCUUCCUUCACGCCGAACCUCUACCACUGCCACACAGAUCGCAAACCCACUAAACAGUACAGCUCACUUAAACCCCAAAUAAGAACCAGAACGAGUUAGGCAAAAAUUUCUGGUUUCCUUUGCUUCCUCCCUCUUCCAUCCUCUACUUCCUCUUGCCCAAAUCUCCACCACACCACACACCGAAGCAUACCGCCACACAAGUCACCGGAUUCGUUGCUAGAGCUUGUAAACAUGCUGGAGCCACCGUGAGCAUGGUGUUGCGAUGCAAAGGAUGUGGAAGAUCAAAAGCAGCUGGCAAAUGUUUGGCAAAGGACUAGAGAUCUUGGUGUCUACAGCUAUUAAAUAGUUCUGUCUUUGGAAAAUCUUCAUCGGUAUCGAGUAAGGGUGGAGACGAGGUGUGAGAUUUGUAGUCACCAAUCUGAAACUGUAAGCCAUAUCUGGUGGGAGUGCCCAUUUGCACAAAACGUGUGGCUUUAUUCAAAGGUUGAACACAAAAAUGCAGCUAGUAGGAAUUAAAGAAGUGGAUCGUUACAGCGUGGGCAAUAUGGAAUGCGAGGAAUAAAUUUUAUUUUGAACAUUUCCAAACUCAUCCAAAGGUGAUCCUCGACUUGGCGAAUGGCUUGUGUGAAGAAUACCAACGUCUUAUGGAUAGGCACUGAGUGACUUGAUGUACCAUCUUCUUGAGCUGAUGUACUCUUUCUUUUGUCUUUUUGUACUACCAUUUACUUGAGCCUUGACUUGGAUUGGACUUUCUUUGUA